UUCGUUAUCAAUGCUCAAAGCGACAAAACUCACCUCAAUUUACUGUCUUCCCCGCUUCACAACAAUUCCAUGGCGGGUUUUCAAAAAUGAAAAAACACUUUGGAGGGAACUUGAAAAUAAAAAGAGCGGUAAAAGGCGGCAAAAUACAUUAAACCUCAAAACCACUCUCCCCUUUCCCUCCAGUUUUAGUCUCUCUCCUCCUCCUGUCACCAUCCUUAUGGCGAGUUCUUCGAAUCUCCGUCUUCUUCCACUGGGGCCUCGUUUCGACGAGCAGAUUCAAGGCACUUGUUUUUGCUUGACUGAUAAAUCUUCUCGGAAUACUUUCACCAAUUUAGAAGCCAGUCAAAGUUCGAUUACUGUGUAAUGACAACUUGACUACUAUAUUGAGCGUUCUGAUUCUGGUGUAUGGGAUGAAGUCCUUUUAUUUUUUUAUUAGUUGCUAUUAAUUCCAAGUCCCCCCCUUUGCAUCUUGUCACAUAUUUGUCCUUUCAGAAGUUAUGGAAAUCACUUCAACUUGACAGAUAAACUUCAAGGGCUUGCUGGUAGGAUACAUCUCCACUUGGUUUUUUUUUUUUUUUCUAAGCCAUUGCUCGUGAGAAAUGAUCAAAAUAUUCAAUAGCCAAUUUGGUCUGACAAUUUAUAAUUUAACAUAAUUUAUCAGCUAAACUUUUACCCAAUUUGGUUUUGCCAUUAACACUGCAUAGCUCGGGACCUUGGGUGAAACCCUGAAAUUUCACCGAGAACAUCUUUCUCCUCUCAAUUUGUGUCUGUCAAGAAGUAACUGUAUUCACAUAUGUGGAUUUCAAUUUUGUCCUAUAUUCUCCUGGCUGCAGAAAACUUGCUCAAUUCGAGCAUAAAUUUAAAUUGCCUACAAUCUUUGUAAUGAUGUACAAGGUCAAUAUCUUCAUACAUUUCCUAAUUCCAGAUUGCGCUAAUUUUCUCUUUAUCCUCGCUACAUUUUUGAGACAUCAAGAGUCAGUACAUUGUCACCUACUCAUCAUACGCCUUACCUCUCGCUCCUCUAUUCAUCCUGCUGGCUGGAAAAUGCAAUCUGGCCAUGAGCGGGCGAGGCGCCCUUCUUUUUUGGUCAAAACCCCUUACACAAACAAAUCCUGCAUUGUCAUUUAAUCAAUGCUUUAAUAAUAUAAUUUUAAAAUAGCGGUUGAGUGGUGUAUAAAGAUUUAUACACAAGAUUUAAAGAAUACGAUAUAUUUUUUUCUAUUUUUGUUUCAAGAUUUAAAGAAUAAGAUAUUCUUUUUCCUGUUUUAUUUCAAGAUCUAAAGAUAGGUAUUUGCUGGAGUACAUUGAAGGGAAAAAAUGAAUUAGAGUGGUCAAUACAUUAUUUACACUGGACUUAAUUUUAUCUUUGUCAAUAAGCAGAUAGGAGCAUAUUGAUGAGUAGAUUCUCCUCAUAAACAAUUACCUUUUAGAAUAUCAAUCAUCUACCUCAUGCUACUAUUUUAAGGCAGCCAGCAGGAAGGAGAAUUCACAUUUGUUAUUAGGUCUGGUAGGAGGUGAAGCUUGCUUAUGUUCUUAUUUGGUAAUGUAGCUAAAUUUUCGACUUAAAGAGUAGAAAUAUAUGAAUUGUAGCUUUUUCAGGAUUUUCUUUUUCUUUAAGUGAUUGUGAUUAUAUUUUUACCACGAAUUUAAUUCUCAGCAUUUGUUUCCCACUUUAUGCUUCACGAUAUAAGCAGAAAUGUAGAACGGGAAGAUGUAAAAAGGAAAUAUAAGUCUGCCUUUUGCACGAGGGAGUGAAAGAACAUAAUAUUUGAUUGAAUGGCCUAAGGAUUCAUUUCAGUAGUAUCAUACCUCUCCAGAAGCAAUGCUGAAUAUGUUCAGUGGUCAGACCUGGACAAAAGUUCUAGAAAUUAGAACAAAGAAUGUCCUUUCAUAUGUGAAAUGAAAGAAGUGUUUAUUUCAAUACCUCUAAAUAUAGUUGGUAUUGACGUCCCAAAAUAAACUGUACGUCUUGGGAGGUUCCAUAACCAAGUCCUGGGUACUGCAAUUGGGUUAAGACUGGAGUCGUGGUCAGCAAAUACCUGCAUACAUAUCGUGGUCAGCUAAGCAUAGGAGAACGCAUAGUACGAAAAUUCAAGUUCUGAUGUAAGCAGUUGAAUUAGCUUUACCUCAUUCACUUGGAAAUAUGUUCCAUUCAAUGGGAAGCUGCCUCUCAUUGCAGUUCUGCAUGGUAUCUGAAUAGGAUGGAUUUAGUACUCUACGUGACUUUGUAUAUCAUAUGAAGGUAAAACACAUUAUCUCCAAUUUGCCUUUUGACCUCCAUAUAUCCUAGAAAAUCAUAUCUUACCAGAAGUGUUCCCCGAACGGUCUGGGAGUCAGCUUCCCGCUGACUGUUGCAAUAAGAACAUGUCUCCUCAUUGCAAAAUAUGUUGGGAUCUUCGUGGUGACAUCUUCUUUCAGGAGGUUCGAUAGAGCUUGCGGUCUCACCUGUUUUGGCCAUCAAUUAUUAUCUUUCAUGUAAGUUAUCUGGAUGAAAUCUGUAACGGGACUAGCCUCCUGGCUGUUUUCAGUAGAAUCACUGUGAUAAAAAUAUGUCCAAUAAAUUUGUACCUACCUGGAGUCCAUAUGGCAAGUAGGUAGGAAGAUGGAUCAUCGGGCUCUCUUUUGUCCCACUGCAAUUGUGCAGCUACAGUUAGAUGGCAACCAAGGUAAAAUCUGUACUGAUAUAAUACAAUUUAAAGUAGCUUACCCCUUUCAAGAGAGGGUGUGUGUCUGGAAGUUCAUAGCUGCAAAUGUAAAGUAGGUGACAGUUAAUGCAACUGAAAGUCUUAUAUACAGAACAUUUAAAUAUUUCUUUAGAAGGGGAUUGACUUCAUAAUAUAUUUGAGUAAAUUGCAUCUUGUCCGUUGAAAUGUGACUACACAAGUUAGAUUUAGCUAUAAAGCUUGCAUGAGGAAUAGGUCAAGUGAUUUUUGUAUAUUUCAUAAAUACACACACAGCCAAAGCAGGGGCAAAGAUUAGAAAAGGGGAACAGAGAACUUAAUUUUUCUUACCACGUCUAACAUGUCUGCCUUGAUUAUUGACCUAAACUAGGAAAAGUUGGUUUUAGUGUUAUGACUUGAGAGAUAUAUCCAAUCAUGCAUGAUUUAAAUGGUUCAAGCACCACUACAAUAAUCUUCUCUACAUUAAGUGUUAACUUACACAUGAUGUUCUGUUCUCAGCCGGCUUAUAUUCUUUAGCUUUGGUGUGGGAAUUGAGGCAGCUUCGGGAGUUAAAGCCACCAAGGCAUUUGAAUCUCCAGCUACAUAGUUUUGUAGAGUUCGAGUGAACUCUUUCAGGUUGAGCUUGAUUGUUGGGAUUUCAUCAGGAUCCUCGAAAAAUGUAUCUUCAAUGUCACAUAAUGUUUGUUCCUGCUCUGGGUCUGGUUCUGGUGAUGCUGGAACUUCCACUAUUGGUUCGCAAUUCCUAAUUUCAGAUUGCCUCUGUAUUUGAUUGAUUGGCAGUGGCGAGGGGAGUGCCAGUGGGGAAGAUGAAACUGCACUUGGAGGUGCAUUAUUAAUGAAGUUGUUUUGCGAAUAAGAGGGGGGCAAAGGCAAAAGAUUGAUGCUAGCUCGAGGAUGUGGAUGUGCUGAACUGCCCCCACUUGAAGAUAUAAUGCCCUUUUCUUCUAUCCCUGGAAGGGCAAAUCUAGCACUGCAGCCAACAACAAAUUGUUUAUGAAUUAAAAUUUAUUAAGGAAGCUGAAUGUUAGAAUUUCCCCUUCAUGUUUUUUUCAACACCGUGUAAGAUGUAGCGACAUCAUCUGAUGGAUCCUUCACUGAUUGACUUUGUGACUGCAUAACCAUCUUUCCACCUUCAAGAACAUAAAAGGAGCGCAUGUUUUCAGAAUAAGAUCUUGGGAUGCUAUCGGAACUUUUCUCCUGUGAAAGAUGUUGAACUGUUGAUUCUGUAGUAAUAUUGCUUUGUUCUGUUGGUGGUGAGCUGUUCUCAUCUUUUCUUGAUGUAUCGGGAGAUCUGCUCUCUACUUCUAGCAUCUCAAUGCCCUUGGUAUCCGGUAAUUGAAAAUUCAGAUCCAACUGGUAUUCACUUGAGCAGACUCCUCGUGUAUCUGGAGAACCUUUUGUUACAUGAUUAAUAAAUUCCAGUGGUUCAUGUUGAGUUUGACUGUAAGAUUCAUGAAGGAAGGGACUCUCCGCCAUCUUUAGCAGUCCCAGAAACGAGGUGGGACAAUCAAAAUAAUUGGAUUGCGAGCUGGUUAACAUAGGCUGUGUUCUUGAAUAACUCUCUGAAAAAAUGCUCAUUGUUCCUGCAGUCUGCAGAUUUGGUGAGUUGGUGGAGUUCUGGGAUGACACUACAGAGUGCUGUGAUGAGGUUGCUUCAUCUUUUACUCUAUCAUCUCCUAAGGUACUUGCUAUUUCUGUAUCUGUAGUCUGGCUAUUUGCAUUAUCAACUAUUUGGUUGUUGGGGAUUUUUUGACUGCUUUCACUAGAGUAAUCCUUGGGACUAAUUGAACCAGAAGCUUGUCCAGUCAACCCUUUGCUAUUGACAACUUCCUUCUCUUCAUUAUGGUCUACGUCAUGGAUAAUCCUAGAAUUCCCACUCAAAGUUCGCUGAUCCAUUGUCUUCUCAUUCCAAGUAAUGCUUUCCUCUAGUUCAAUUAUACAAACAUCUGGUUCAACAACCAAAGCAGACGUUGACUCCUCAGAAAGGGUACUUUCACUUCCUUCUGACUUGAGAGGAAAAUGGGCAGCCAUUGACAUGAAAGCAGAACUGCAAACAAACAAGGAUCAAGUAAUAUACUUAUUCAGGGCAUGCUAGGAUUGGGGUAUAGAAUUAAGGGGAUACACAUACAACUAGAUAACAUAAAGAGGAAGAUGUGAGGAGGUGGGGGUUGACGAGGGAUGUGGCAGGAUGGUGGAAUUGUUACCCUUUAAACAUGGAUAAUAGUUCCCCACCAGUGUAAUAUACUUUCCCCCAAAUGAGGGUAAUGAUUCCCGAAUUCCUCUUCAACCACCAGGCCACCACUACUUCCACCCAUUUAAUAAUGCCCAGAGUGAAUAUAAUGAACUCUGGUACUAUCUCAGCGUGAACUCACCUAGAGAGAUGGUCUGAUACAUUCUGAGUGAGAAAGACACCAAUAACGGAGUCCAGAACAGAACCUUUCCAAGGAGUGAAGCGCCUAUCUCCUGUAGGAAUCAAACAUUUUUGUUAGUGACUGACUUAAGGAGUAUUUAUCUGACUGAUGAAUAAAAGAUUCUGCGUGAAGAGGGAAAUUGGCUAUUCAUAUGAUACCUUGAACGAGACGCAUUCGUGCUAUGAACGAGUCUACACGUCCGUGGAAGACACUCCUCUCAUUUUCCCACCAUUUUGCUUUAUCCUCAUCAGUUCCAUCAACGCCUUUAUUGUCAAUGUUCUCAAGAAGAAGUUUCCACACUUUAGUAGUUUCAUCAUCAAGGUCAACCUUAGCCCGUUGACGACGCUUCCUAACAGGAUCAAAGGGCCCGUCAAAUGGCACCAUAGUGCCAUCUUUUUCAUAAACAACAAGCGCAUUUUUUGCUUGCUUUUUUGUGCGGUAAGGGACCAGUGCAUUCCGUUCUCGAAGUGGAGUGUUGUAGCCUUCUCUAUUGAUGUCCAAGAGCUUCAUUGCUUCAGUUAUUUCUUCAAUGGAGGUGGUUCUGGCCCAUGGUAGGGCUGGACUUAAACCUGCAGCAAAUGGCACAACGAGUUAUUUUCAUACCUGAAGGAGUACAUACUGCAUAGUGCUUAAGUAGUUAAUAUUUACCUGCUUUUCUGGUAGACUGGUUAGCAUUAUAUAAGACAAGGUCCCAUUGAUUGUUUGAAGAGUUCUGUUUCCUGGAUCCCCUCUUUGAUCUUGGCUUUGGUGUGCUAUCAGCUGCUAGGGUCUCUGGGUAACCAUGUUCUGAAGUAUCAACCUUCUUUUUGCGAGGACCCUUGGGUCCUGGUUUGCGAGGCAAGACAGAUGAAAGCCCCAUCAAUGGGGCCAGAUUACGAGCACGAGUAGUGCCUUUCGAUCUCUUUUUCUUCAGCCUUGCCAAGUCAGCCCAAGAAUUCAAAAGCUGUACCCUGUUCUCAACGCUUCCCAUAAGUAGCUCAGCAUGAUUAUGAGUCAUUGCACUAACUCGAUAAGAGGAAGGAUUGCAGUAGUACUUUGAUGCAGUAGGAUCAACUCUAGAAUGAUUUUGAGUGCCGGCGACUUGGUUGAUAUCUUCAGAUGGAGCAGCAGUAGGUGGCAUGCUUGAUAUGUGUGACCUUUGUACCUUCUCAGUUCUCUUUUUCUUGCAAAUUUCUGGAAAGAGAAUUUUGGGAAGUUCUCCAGUAGCAGCAUUCCCAGUAAUUGUGUGGUUUGGCUGCCAAAAGGUACAUUGAGCGGCAGCAGGCACACUUCCAGCAGCAACAUCGGUUAUGCAGGAAUUUCUCCUUUUUGAUCCUCUUGUUUUUUUCUGUUCGUUGGAACUUGCACAAGGGCUUGAAUUGGGACUUUGUGCCAGAUGAACAUCAUCUCUGGAUGAAACCCCGACAUUGUUUCCUAACGAACUGUGAUGAGCCUCAUCUUUUCUUCUGGACUGGAACAUCAGGUCAGGCUGUGUGUUAUCAUGGUAGUCUUUUGUGGGAAGCGAGAGAUAAUUUUUAAGAUCUUGAUUGUGGGUAUAAUUAAGGUCAUAGGCAGUGCACACUCUUGAUGUUCCCACCAUCAACUCCUCUCGGUGCCCAGGAGUUUCUGCAGUGUCACACUUGUUAGACUGUGGCCCUGCAUAUAAAUCUCCAGUUGACAUAUGAGAGUUACUUUCUGCUGCUGCUUGUCCAUUCAAGUCAAAGUUCAAGGACUUUCUGCAGGACUUGGCAACAGCUUCUGUUGCUUUUGUAUCUCCUGCUUCAGUUGCAAUUGCUGGUGUUGACUCUCCUGCUUCAGUUGCUCCUGGUUGUGUCGGCUCUCCUCCUCCAGUUGCUCUUUCUGUGGGAGUUUCUGAAGUUGUGUUCACCUUGUUUUUUCUCACAUACUUUCUUCUAACUUGUGCAGUUUCCUUGGCAUCAGUGGUGGGCUUGGGUGUUUUAGGUUUUGGAGUCUGUCUAGGCUUCUUCUCUCUUAUGACCUUUGGUGUGUACUUUCUUCGCCGUGGUUUCCUCUGUGGCGUCUUGUUCAGGUCAAUAACUUGGUCGCCUCCCUUGUCAGGGUUGUGAUUCUCUACUGUCACGGAGACUUUACCAGGUGAAGAAUCUUCUGUAUUAGGCACCACGACUUCUUCAUGAACAUUCUGAAGGUUGAUCAUCGCAGCAGCAGCAACUUGUUCAACUUGUUCUGGCAAUCCAUUCUGUUCAGUUGGCCUUAGAUGUGUGCCAAAAGGUGCAUUAUAAUCCCAACCAGAAUAAAGGGCAGCAUUUCCCAUCCCCAUUCCGAGUCCAGAACCAUCACUCCUAGCUAAAAGACUUGUAUAUGACUCUAACUGCUCCAACUCGGCGGCGGCGGUUCCACUGUCUCCAACUCCAUUAUGUCUCCAUUGCAUUGUUGAUUCCCAAGAACUGAAGUAAGGGUAACCACUACUACUACUACUCUGAGCUACUGCUGCCGCAGCUGCGGCUGGGUUUGUUGAAGGAUAAGUCACCUUUGUUCUCCUACCUUGGCUAUUCCAAUUAGGUAGAUACUCCUCUAAACCCCUUCUCUGCAUUUCUCCUACAUUCUCCCUCUGUAAAUUUAAUAUUCUACCACUACCAUCAUCCCAAAGGUUUUGGUGUUGCUGUUGGUGUUGGUAUUGGUAUUGGUGUUGAUGGUUGUUAUUACUACUGCUACUGGGAAAACCACUACUACCAUUAUUGGCUUCUGCAGAAGAAAUUGUAUAAGAUAAAAGAGUUUGAGCAUGAUUAUUUGGUUGUGAAAAUCUUGACAGAUAA